rnacentral:lncRNA from 1 species
AUCCGCGCUCGCUUCGAACCUUUUCCUCGUCCAGGGUUACCGCACGGACCUCCCGAUUUUUUAAUACGCUCCUCGAAAUCGAACCAGUUUCCUAAACGCGACAAAUUACUCGACGCUUCUCUCUCAGUUACACCGAUCCUGUACCUCCGCGAAACCUGUACCCCCCGCUUCGACCACUUCGGAGAACCGUCGUUUCCUACGUGUCCUCGAUCGCGUAUCGCCGUCGACGAAGACGUCCCGCGUCGCGAACUAUUCCGCGUAACCGUCCACGCGAACUUCCGAGUCGCGAGUUUCGAAACUCGUCAAAAUCGAAGAACAAACGACUCGGUCGGGCGUCUCGGCAGGAUACAACGUUAAGACGAUAAGCGGAACCGUUAGUCGUCUUUCACGGAUUUUCUUCCGUUUCCUUGGAUACUUCUUUCGCGAACGAGAUACGACGAGGGAAGCGAGGUCACUAGAGGGCGGCGACCAAUGGGGACGAGGAGUCAAGCGGGGCGCGAAAAAUGGGCCGGACCGUUUCAAUCCACCCCCGAGGCUAAGGGUGAGGGUAAGAACGCCGACGGAGUAGGGUAGAGCGACGGGGCUCGGCUCGAAGACGACCGGGCCGUCGACGCAGGGUCAGUCGGGUCGCGGACCUGCACCUCUGCGUUUCCGUGUCUUUUGCCAUUUUACUCCACCCCGUUACGCUUUCGAGCUUCGUCGUCGCUUCUUCCGCCUUUGCCCUCUGCUCCUUUCCUUCCCGAGAACGAUUAUGUCACUGUUUCUUUCGUUCGCCUCCUCUCCGUCUAUGCGAAAUUAGGCAUCGACGCGACGAAACGAUAAAUCGAGCGAAAAAUCGAACGACGAGCGGUAAGCUCGAGCGCGAAAAGUAACGUUCAGGGAUGUUAGUCGCGCGCGAAAGAUCUUGUCCAACGACCUCGUCGAAUGUCCGGAAUGGUCAGCGAAUCCGUGGCUCGUAGAACGCGAAAGGGAUUCUGAAAUCGUUGAAUCUAGCAACGUUGACGGGCGUAGAAGCCGAACGGGGAACAGGGAAUAGGGAACAGGGGGAACGAGAAGGGGGCAGAAGAGAAGCGGGGUGGCUGGCGCCGUGUACAAGUGCAUAUCGGUGAAGGGGUGGUCGAACAAUGCGCUCGUUCAAUGCGCUCUAGAUAUGAUUACCGGAAACCAUCCCAUAAUUACUUUUUGUACGUCGAAAACGCAGCGAGCCCCCUCGUUUCGUUUCCCUCCCUUCGGCCCUGCUUCUCUUCACCGCUAAAACCACCGGCGGCCUUCUAUCUGUCUCUCUCCCCCUCCCUCUCCGCGUCGUUCCUUCUGUUGCCCCCCGUCGGUUCUUUUCCCCUCUUAGCACCGCUGCCCUCUUAAAACGUUCGCAACGCGCGGCCUUCUUCGCGUUUCAACCUGACACGCGCGAUGCUUUUAAAGUGCCAGCCAACGUUAACGCCACUCUCGAGAUGAUUUAUCGAAAUCGCUGCGUUCGCCGCAACCGUGUUUCGACCACCGCCACUCCCGCGCCCGAAUCUCUCUUCGAAAAAGCUACGCCGCCUCUCCACGAUCUCCGUUAAUCUCUUCCCCCUUCUCCUCCCCGUUUCACCGAGAGGCNUCGUAUCUCGCGGGAUAUCGCGCGCCGUGCCGACGAACGAUCGCAGGAUAUUUUGACCGAUUUCGACUUGUUCGGGACGGUGCGACACGGUGCGAACGAGCGUGCCUCUCUAGCGAGUUUUUUUACCAGAUUCGUGAGCAUGGAAUUAAUAAAAAGUUUCGCAAUCGAAACCGUACCGUUAGGAGAAUCGACGUCGAAGAGGUUCAGCGAGCGAAUCGGAUCAGGAAAGAGCAGAUAGGAGUAAGGUGCACGGGGUUAGGGGGAUGGCGAGGCGAGAACAUGGCAAAGGGGAGAAUCACUGUUCGCUCGGAGCGGUGGUUACGGUCGCGGUGACGCUGCCGGUGGUGGAGGCGGCUACAUUAUGAGUGUGUUCAUAUUUCCUGCGUUGCCUCCUUCCUUCCCUUAUCUGUCUUCCCUACCCUCCGAGCCCUUUUGUUCGCACUCUUUCGACUGUUAAUGCCGCGAAAUUAACUCCGGCAGGAGCGAGUUUAAGAACCGCUACAAGGUGGUAUAUAUACGUACUCCCGUUCCCAUUCCCGUUCCCGUUCUCUUUCCCGUUCCCGCCCCCGCCGCCGCCCCUGCUCUCGCUCCCGCUCCCGUUCCACGUCCAAAGAGCGCCCGAAGGCCGUCUUCAUUGUCCCGCCGGCGUAUUAUUUUAACAUUAUCUGCUACUCGACUGCCGCUUAAUUAAUUUAUUUAUGAGCCGAGGCGGACGACGAUGGCCAACGAUCGAAGGCCUAAAGGAAAAGAGUCGGAGACGCGCGAGGCGGAGGAUCGGCCAGACAAAGACGAGGGUGAGCGAGGGUGAAAGAGACGUAGGAAGCGAAAGAGAAAGGGAAAAGGAAAGGGAAAGGGAAAGGGAAAGGGAAAGGGAAAUGGAAAGGAGAGGAAACGGGAGAAAGAAUGGAAUGGUCCCGGUAGGAGAUUUGUCUCCAGAGGUUCAACGGUUCAACCCCUUGUCACGACGACGUUGGUCGAGUCGCGUCGACUCGACGCUUCUUCGACCGAACAAGGUAGCCCUAAUAACGCUUUCUCCUUUAUUGCCUCACCGCUUUAUCGCCAACCAAGGAAAUUACUCGUCAAAGGGUGGUCUCGAGUCAGGGAACGAUCAACGAGAAGCAACUUUGUCGCGCGUACGCCUAGCGCGGAGCGAGAGAAGAAAAGUUCUUUCGUGUUCGUUCGCUUAAAGGAGGCCAGUAGGGGAAGUUUUUCGAAACGCUUGGAAAUUAAUGCGCGAAAUCGGCCGAGUCGUUCUUUCCGAGAUCGAGCAAUAUAUCAAACGAUUCCCCCGAAGGGAGAAACCCCUACGGAAAGGGAGUGGAGCAUUUGCAUAGGGGAAAAGAUCGGACAGGCUGGUCAGUCGGCCGAUUCGAGAUCACCUGUCCCACGAUUAUCCGGGGUCAAGAUUACCAGUGGGACCACUUCCCCCGGAACGGGCCCCUGGCCCGAUCGUCUUCCGGACGUUCGAGUUUACGAUAAAUUAAUGGUUUUUCGGGGGGUCAACCUUCUCGACGGUCUUACCGGCCGGUCUCACGCGAGAAUUCAAAUCGCCAACUGUCCUCUAAUUAUUUAUGGUCGUUCGCUUCGCCUCGCCUCGACCGCUCGUUGGACAACCUCUGUCACGGACCUCCGCGUACGAUACUUGUCACGAUUUGCUCAGUCGCGUCGUACAACUAGCGAACGAUCAUUUAUCGAUUUGUCGCGAGUAUUAGACAUUUUCCAUGAGGAAUUCGCAAAAAUCCGCGUUCGAAAAGCUUCGUACAGUUUACACUGCUGUUCGAUUCGUAACCGUCGAACCGGACCCGGGUCGAACAAUGGCCGUGGGAUCGUUAACGACACCGUGUCAGCUCGGCAUCGUGAUUCUACAAAUCGAAAGAAGAAAAGGGAGAAAGCUUACGGGACGCAGGUGGGACGCUAAUGGUUUCGCGUCGAACGUCGGCUGACCGUUUAAACGCUUAAAGGCUCGCCAAACUGUUCCGUCGUUUCAUUAAUCUCCCGUGAAAUUUUCCCGUGUGUAAACAGCUUUAUUGACGGCUCGACCGAUUUUUCGGCCGAGAGUUCAGCGAAUCGCAAAAUUUGACGAAAGGGCCUGCUUUCGCGUUUACGACGAUCGACGAGCUUGUCAGUCGCAGAUGUCGAUUCCUUUUUGCGCGCGCGUUCUAACGGUUCUCCGCUAUUCACCGCUCGAGAACACGCUCGCGCGCAACCGUGAAACAACGAAUUAAUUGCGCGGAAACGAACUACCCGACUUUCGAUGACGCGCGAUGCGCUCGAGGAUGAAAACGCGCGAGCGCGUAGGAAGGGUGAUCGAAAGGCAUCUACUACGCGCAGGGACCGCAAAGAAAGGUACUACGAGGGUGGCGAGAGUCCCCUGGGGGACCUAUUGUCCGAAUACCCUGAUUAAAAACCCAUUCCCCGGUUACGCGCUUUAGAAACCCGCUCGAAUCGAAAAUUUGAGAGCACCGCGCGAUAUCGCGCGUACACCGAUUCGUUUAGUAGCGGUCGCGAGGGAACCGAAGAAACGCGUCGGCUUCGUCGUUCCGUCCCGCUCGCUUUCUUCUCCUCUCUCUUUCGGCGAAACUUUAAAAACCCGGUGCGACGGCCGUCGUGAAACUUUCAGACUAAAGAGGAGUAGGUCCGAUCGAGAGGAAUAGUCGCGUCGCUUCGAGCGAGAGUCCGCUCCGGCAAAGGGACAGAGUUCGGUGGAUAGUUGCCGGCGUUAAAAGCCACUCGGCGACGUAAUUAGCGAAGCGACGACGAUAACGGGGUCGUGACGAGGAGAGGCGGGGAGAAACGAGCAGAGACGAGACACCCCUCGUUCGCCAGAGAGGCCGAACACGACUGUUUUUCUGGUCCAUGAAUCUUUUAACCGGUUACGCCGCGUACGCCGAGUGGCGAGGGAAGCCCCUCGCGUGGAAAACGGUAAGCGGAUACAGUCGUUUGCCAUCUACCUGUUCACCUGUACGUUUUCUCGAGCACGCGAGUCGUUCGUCGACGAAGGGGACGCCGUCGAGAGUAACCGCUCGGAUCGGCGCCCCACCACGCAUGCCGAUAAAUCGAACGACACCAGGAAGGAUUCGAGCGUGACAGUGCGUAGCGAAUCGAACCGGUCGUCGCGUCGAAGAAGAUCGGUCGCGACGAACGAGCGGAGGACGCGUCGAAACGAGACCGAGAGCGGAUACCGUACGCGCAUCGGUACAUCGAGUUCAGCGGGGUUCGAUAAUCAUCGGAGAGGCUGACGGUCAGCGGUUCGGGGGCCUAUUCACGCGGCGUUGCGAGGCCUUUCACGGAUAUCAGGUUGCCCAUUAGCAACUAGAGAGGCUGUCCAGUAAUUACGGCUUAAUUAAUCCUCCGAGGCUCGUCUCCGACUCGACUGAUUAACGCGUGCCGCUCUCAAAGGAAGAGCCAGCAAUACGAUGACCUUCCGCGCCGAAAAUCCGCUACCGCGACCCGGCCUCGCUUCUCCUCUUUGCCCUCUCCCAUCCUCGACUCCUCCGCGUCUUUUACGGAUUUGCUCCGUGCACGACACCGACGAUCCGAUCGCCGCGUUUUCGUCCUCGAUUUUGCUUUCUCUCGUCCGAUACGAGUUCGACACCGAACGUUCGCGUACGUCGAGGAGAAAAAAACCGGUAAGAGACUCGGAUCGAACGAGCGAGUAGAAGAAGAAGAAGGAGGACAAAGAGGAAAAAGGAGAGAAGAAUAAAGGGUCCCUUUUAGUUUUUCGUACGACCGAGGAUAUAUACCGGCACGAUGACGAUGGCGGCCUUCCGAACGACCGAGAAAAGAUCCUGAAAGGUAAUUACUCCGUGCUAGGUGCAAACAAUAGACGUUCUACCCUUUGCUCCUCGUGAGAAACAAAAACCGCCCGUUAAGCCGAACGAAGGCCCGUUUCGUAUACCUGUUCGCGCGCUAACGGAUCCACCGGGGGCCAGUCGCUCCUCUACCUUUAACGUCUUACCCAACGAAUUACGCGAACGUUAAUCAACCGCGUACCCCGCGACGUUGUCCAGAAGCGAGAAGAGCGAUCGAAUCGUGAGCGAAUCGAGCGGAAGACGAGAAAACGCGAGACGAUUGAGCGGUUAAACGUUCGCGUCAACGUUUUCUCCCCGGCGAACGAGAACGGUGAAAACGGUUGCACGCUAACCACCCACGCGUUAAUCGUCAAUCCCGUUAGCGGCGCCGACAGGGCACCCUCCCGCGGCAAAGGAUCAUCCCUUAAUCCGUUCAUUCGCAUCCCUGCGGCUCUCUCGCGGUGCAACCGCGCGAACGGGGAGAGACGGCGCGCUACGAACGAGCGAUUUCGCGACUCGCACCCCGUGCCAAAACUCACCCUCCGCCGCCGCGACAACCGCAUCCAUCGCGACGGUUCCCUUUCCGUCUCUCUCGUUUCGUUCCGUUCCGAGCCCUUACCGUGACACUACCCUCCUCCUCCUCCUCGCUUUCCUUCUUUCUCGACGGCCGCGCCCGCGCUCGUUGUCUCCGCAUUUUCGUUCGGUCCUCUUUUUAUCCGCGCUCGAUACGCGGAAGCGCACGGCCGUACGCUCGCGCAUCCUGACAUCGACGAUACGCGUUAUUUACGCGAUGUCGCGCGCCCAUCCUCCGACCGAGCCGACUAUCCUCGGCCACCCACGAAUUUCUGCUGCGCGCGCUCCGAACUCCUCUCCGCUCGGCCGAGUUGCUCGCGAUCCUGGAGAGAAGACUCGCUGCUCCCCUUCCGGGAAAGUUGCGCACACGCGAGCGACCCGGUCCUGCGGGAUCCCUCGACCUGCGACCCGACCCGCCGGUACCGAUCCGUCCGAAAGAAUAGACGAAAAGCGAUACCAUAAUAAACACGUUUUACGGCGUCGACCGAUUCCCAAAGCCGCACGAGCCAGCCGGCGGAGAAUAGUCGCGAACGCGGAUAUGGCCGACGACGCAGGUAGGCUACCUUGUUCCUCCUUUUCUGGCUCGAGCGUUCCGUUUCGGUCUAGCCUAGGUAGCCCGGAUCGUUUGCUCCCGCUUCGGGUGCUUCGGGUCCUGGCGCGACGGGUAACGCGACGCACAAUGGAUAAAUGAGAUUUUUUGCGAGCGAUUGAGAUCCAAGAGCGGGUAGAGCCGAAUGAAGACGCGAGGUUGGGAGCGCCGAGGGAGCAUCGUUGUCUCCCCCGGGAAGGACAGAGAGCGUGCCGAUGAUAGGGUGCAUCCCUCGAGACCGAGGGCUCCAAGAAAGGGUUGACAGAGGAGGCUUUUAAUACUCGCGGUAUCGUCCUUGCAUCGUCGAUAAAACGCGUCCGCGAAAUUACCACGAGUUACGUCGCGUUUGCUCGCCGCGCGAAAUUUCGAGAGAUUCCGAACCGAACGGAAUCCGCGCCGCGAUCCUAGAGAAGCGACUACCUCGAAACAGUACCGUUAUAAAUGCGAGUCGGUCUCUGUUGCUCCCUGUUUCGAUUCUCCGUCCUGUUCUCUCCCGGUGGCGGCGCGACAGUGGCGGUUUCGAGUUAGCAAAUUGGCGAGCAGCGAGACACCGUGCUGGGACGAGAGCGGACAAGAAGCAACGAAAACGGUGCAAGGUUUCGACGCCGUAACUGCCGCGCGAGACUGGCGGACACGGCUAAUUAGGGGAAGCCAAGCCCUCGCGUCAUAGCAAGAUAAUUAAUUGAACCGUGGAUUAAUGUCGGAGGAUUAAUCUCUUCCUCUCCCCCGGAUCGAGCAACCGGAUUUUACUUGCCACGCUCCCGGUCCAACGAGCCCGUUACCGCUCGCGAUAAAUCCAUCGUUUCGAAGCGGGACAACAUUUUUAUCCGAUUUACCGAAUUACCGACGCGACGCGCCGAUUUCGAUUCGUCGAGAAGAGAGCCUUCUUUCGCUAUCGAAGGCUACAACACCGUUGCCGUAACAAGAGCCACGAACGCGAUCCUUGACACCGCGCACCGUCGGUGCUAUCGAUGAUGCUUAGCAACGCGGAAGCCAUUAGCCAUAUGGCAUACGCCGCGUCGCACCGCGCCGUGCCACGUUGCAUCGCGACUUGCCCUCUCUCGCGAGCGAACGCCUCUGUCCGUUCAUUGCCAGCCUAUCGAACCUCGCUAACCACGGAAUUACACUCGACUCGCGGAUAAACUCUUUCUCUCCGUCGGCGUAAUAGCUAUCGCGAUGAAUCCUGGCUCGUCUUCGUCUCGCGAACCGAUCGCGGCCGAAGAUCCCUGGAAACGAAACGAACGAAUCCGCCGCGUCGAAAGGCGUACGCGUCCGUUCGACGAGUCUCGCCGGCGAUCGCGAUCGCUUCCUCGUAUAAAUAUGCAACGCGUCACCCGUGGGUCAGCUCCGACUCGUACGCGACGCGACGAACGCGCUCGCGAACGUCGCCUCGCGCACGGGACAAACAUUGCCGGUUCGACGCGGCGCGCGCGUGUACACGCGUGUAUGUACGUUAAUCCUCCACAAUGGGAUCCUCUACAAUGGCCUUUGUCCGCCGUGCUCGCGGAAAGAAAUGAAAAACGAGGCUCUCCUCUAACCCUCUGCCCGCUCUUUUGCCCCCCGUCCUUCCUCCAUCUUUCUCCGUUCGUCCGGUCGCCUCUCGCAUCUCGUGUUUCUCUCUUCGAAUCUAACCUUUAGUUUCCACGCGCUCUUUGAUCGUAGCUCCGGCCGCGUCCAAAAGCGGAUCGUAAAAAUUCGAGGAAAACGCGUCGUUACGGACGAUCAAGUUGUCGAGUGGAAAAUUGAACGGGACUCGACUCGACGCCGACAAAAACUCUGCUCGUGGAUCUCGUUUAGAUUCCGCAACGUCACGCGACGAAGCUCGUCCGAAAAAGAGGUCGGUUUCCAGCGAGCUUCUUGUACUCGAUGUCGUCACGUCUCGACUCGGUCCAGAAGGUUCGACGACUUUUCGGACAUUCGAUCGGUAGCGAUUAUAGCGUCGCGCGAGCGGAAACUUCUUGAAGGCUUGGGCGUCGAACCGAGGCGCGUCGCACCGCGAAGCGACGGUUGCACGGCUCGACGAUCGUAUUAGCCGGUAACGGUGCCUAAUUCGCUGCAAAGCCGCUAAUCCGGCAGAAUUAAUCCGCCUCGGUCGGUUGCUUUUCAUCAAUGUGUCGUCGUUCGCGAAGCGCCGGGAGAGCGGUGGGACACGGCCAGCUUCGGCCCUUGAUUCUCCGCGGCCCCUGAUUCUCUCGACCAACCCCUCCAGCCUCCCUUCUCUCUUCCCCGAUCCUGUUUCGUUCUUGUCUCGUCUCUCUCUCUCUCUCUCUCUCUCUUCCCCUCUCUUUCUCUCUCCCGCAGCCUCUCUUUUAUAUUCGUCCGUCUUUGUCCGACUCGUCUGGCCCUGUUACGCGCGCCGAUCUCUGUCUCGGUUGCUCCGUCGAAGCAUCGACGACUCGGCUCGUUUACAGUGGGGCGUCAAGUUCGAAGCGAGUUUGCCGGAGCUCGGUCGGUCGCCUCUCGACAAGGAUGCGAGCCACUCGAAAACGUAGCGUAUUCUGCGCGGAAUGCCGCGGGAUCUGACAUAAUGCCCGUCUCCCCCGGCCUCUCCGCGCUCAACCUCAACCCUCCCCGGAAAGUCUGUUCGCGGUGAGUAGGACGCGAUGGUUGCUACGGCGAUGAGAGGACCGACGCGACGAGAAACGCCAUUCGAAUCCAUUCCCCAGCGAUCGGCUCUCGUUCGAGAUCUCCCGGCGUGCGCGAAGAUGCAUUAUUAAAAGCCGAACGAGUACUUUGUAACGAGUUACCCCCCAGCAUCCCCCUGCCUCUAACCACGAAUCGGCUUCCCGUCGCGCUUCGACGAACGCGAUUCCGCCGAAUCGCGACGCGGAAGCUCCGAAUGCUUCGCACCAACGCGCUUUCUCCCGCCGCGUCAGCCCGCUCGAUCCGUUCCUCGUUGCUUACAAAAUUUCCCUUUACCCGUUGCCGAACGCGAUUAAUCCCGGUGCGUUCGAUCUAAUCGAACGACGUAAUCUCUCCGAGCGUUGUUCGUUUCGAAUUUGUUCGUCUACGCGAGGAUUUGGAUAACGAUCGAGAGGGUUACGGAUCGGUGCGAGUUACGAGAACAAAAAAUGGGGUAGAUUUCCUCGACGCGUUCGUAAACCGUCGCGUCGCGCUCGAACGAGAAAACGUUGCGAUAAGAAUAUUAACGAACGGAAAGCGAUCGCGGAGGAACAGCGGAAGGGAGGGAAUAAUUCGAUUUUUCGAUCGGAGUGAAUGCCGCGGUGAUUGCCAUCGAGCGCGAAAUAGGAUUUACCGGAGAGGCGAGACUCGUAAGAUUUCGAGCGAUUCGUCGGAUUGAUAUUCCUGCCGCUCGUUCCGGCGACGCUGCUCGAUAAUGGCGUAUUGUUUUAUUAAUUUUAUCCGGAGAACAGUCGCCUUAAACUAUCCGGCGUCGCGGCUCGAACACGGCUGUUUCCGUCGCGCGAAAUUUCGCUCGGAUAUAAUCGACGCGAUUCAUCUCGUCCGAAACGCGUUUCGCUUCGCGAAAGGCCGCAAAGAAGAACGAUCCGAAAAGAACGGUUGGAAAGAGGGAGCGACGAUCGAUGAACGCGCCGUUUGAAAUUUUAUGCGAGUUCUGGUUCGUUCGGUCUCGCAUCGAUGAUCGUCCGUAUACCUAUAAAGUAUAAAGCGCGGCCGAAAGAAUAGGGUCGGGAACCGCGCGCGGUCACCGAGACUGGAAUUAAAAUCGACGACUACCCUCGUACGCGAGACUAGACCGCAGGUUGUUUCUCUAUUCUUCGGUAACCACGACCCCCCGUCCGCUUACUCUUCUGCCGGGCUUUUCGGUCGGUGUCGGUGGUCCGUAGUAGUCGCUUCUCGACGUCCCCCUUCCUGCGAAUUCAAAUUUUCCCGAAUUUCGUUUAAAACGUUUAUGAUCCGUGUCCGAGAAACGAGGGGUCGUCGACUGGAUCCCACGAGAGAGGUGUCUCGGCCCUAAGUUUGCGCAGCCGGACGAGUUUCGUGCGCGUACGAAGACGACCGACCGGAUCUGACCGGACCUCGUCGAGCCGGACAAGGAAAUCCAUCGACUUUCCCAUAUCCGUAUCCGACCACAUGCCUAAUAAAUAUCUCCCGGAUGGAAAUCGCGUUCCUUCCCUAUUAUUCUCGCUCGUCGGCCGGUGGCUUUACGAGCGCCGCGGUUCUCUCGAUGCACGGCCAGUCGAUGCGACGCGAUCAAAUUGAAGCGGAGCAAGGAACGGUGCCGACGCGAUUUAGAAAACGCACCGAUUUGUCCGGAACAACGCGCAAAUGCGUUGGAACAACGGAAAAUACUUUAAGUAAGAAACAAAUCGUCGAGACAGAACGAGAAACGUUUAGAGAAAGAUUGAAAGGCACGCGGCAGUUACGAUGGAGAUAUCGUUCGUAGUUGGAAAACGCGAUCGUCGACGGGGAACGGAACAAUCUGGAGCGUAAUUUCUAAAUCGCGAGGAGAAAAAACGAUCUUUGAUUCGUCGACUGUCGCGCAGCAGAUUACAAAAGACGUAAAAGGUAGAAGGCGAAAGGUAGCGGCGUUCGUUCCAGCUGGGGUCCACGGCUAAUGGCGUAUUGUAGAGGUAUAUAAUAUAAUGGCAGUUAGCACCCUACUGCGGUCUGUAGUGGGUGUGUUGUGACAUCGAGACCGGAACAAACAAACAUCGUGUCCAUUUUGGAAGGGUCCGGGACAAAGUGUCGGUGACCAGUGCCGAGACGACGGCAAGCUUGCGGGACGCGCGAGCCUCUUGCUCUCGACGACUCGCUGUUGCGAGAUCGAGAGCCAGUAGGGUGCCGUUAAAUAGGAGAACGAUGCACUCCCACGAUCGACGCGAUCCCAUUUUUCUCCCCCUUAACCGUGCUCCGUUCGGCUUUCUUCCGCGACAUUACCUCCUCUUUCCUUCGGUCCGUUGAAUCUUUCGGCCCGCACUCGCCGUUCUCGACGCGAUUCCAAACGAAACGUCGAUUCUCGAAUCGUCGAAAAAAUUUGCUAAACCCGUUUGCGAACUAACGGACUAACGGAAAGUCCGGAGGACCGAAAAGCGAGAAGGGACGGAAAACCGCUUCGAAGAAUCCAACCGUCGCGUCCGUGACCUCGGUGCUCCCGAUGACCGGGCACAAGCACGGAUUCCCGAGCUUUUCUUCGAACGAGGCGCGUGGCUCGUGUUCCCAGGCCCUGGAGUCGAAUCUAGCCCGAAUACGGGUUUGUUCUAGAAUCCACGAACGAAAUCGAGUUUCCUCUGCGGGCCCGUACGAUCCCACGAAACGCGAACAGACGACAAACGAGUUGUCGCGUACGGGACGGCCGGUCUCGAAAAACCACGGGAACUCGUUUUCUCUUAGCCAGUUUCCGUUUUGGUGACCCGUGUUACCUAGGAAGACAAACGCAUCAUCGAUAUUCCUGUUGGCCGAGUACGUAGUUCCAACCGUCGAAACGAUGCGACUCGCGAUCGAAAGGAUCGAGAGCAAGACGAACGGCGAAUGGCGUAACGAAACACCUUGCGGCGGUGGUAAAGCGUGGGCGAGACAAGUGGCGAAACGGCCGGUGGUUAAAAGCGAGCGAAACCGGCUGCGGUGGCAAACGCAGCCCCGAGCGGGAACCGAAACCCUGCCGGUGUCGUGGAUGGGUCCGAGUACCACUUUACCGAGCAGCAUGUGUUCCUGUCUCGGAUUUCACGUUCUCUCCUCUCCUCGCCCGUUUCGGCCGAGUCGACGCGAUACGCUUUUUGGCCGUCGACCCUCUCUACUCUGUACACUGUACCGGAUCGAAUCCGAUGCUCGCGAUUUUGUCGCGUGGAACAACGCGCUCGAGAAUCGUUAGCUCUUCUUCGUCCUAUUUCUUCUCGUCUAACGGCGAAAUUUCGAAACGAGCAAGUUUAAACGUUACCGCGAGCGGAAAGUUUUGUUCGUCCGUCGAACGCUAGAUCGAUCUACGCGAGUGACGCUUCGAACGUUUCCCGAGACUGGAAAGAUGCGGUCUCACGGGUAUUUGGCCGUCUCCCCCCUCUCGACGACCCGUCUCGAGUUCGAAAAGUCGAGAAUAUAAAUCACGAUAUUAGCCGUAGGAUCACGGUCCCCGAGGAAAAACGACCCCGCGAACGUCUACUCCGUUACCGACGAAGCUACGACCGUCCGUUUUUUCUCACAAUUAUCGAAACCGAAGGCUCGAAAAAAACUGGACCGUACUAAAGGGAACUAAAAGGAAAAAGAACGAUUUCGAAGUCGAACGCGAGUCGUUGCCUCGGAACGAGGGAAAUUAAUCGACGACUUUUUGAACGGCGAUCGCGUAAUAUGCAUAAGCGAACGCGUAAACGCAGGCAUAAACACGGAGAAUGGGUGGUAUAGAACGAAAGAACGGUCACCCCCGUGAAAGCCUCCCUCGGUUUGGAGGGACGGAGGAGCCUGUGGUCGCGCAGCUGUCCCAUGUCCAGAUGUCCGGUUUUCGGCCACGGGACGACGACUCACUGUGAGAAAACCAAUCCUCGGUUCUCGGCUCCCUUCUUUCGUUGCCUCUUUUCUUUGUCUUCGUUCACCCUCCUUCCUUCUUCGAGCCGUGUUCCCUCUUUCUCGUUCCGUUUCCUCGACGGAUCCCCAACGCACAUUAAUUACCCCGCUCGAAGACUAUCCUUCUGGAUUAUCCGAAAUUUAAUACGCCACCGUGCACCCCGCUGCGUUUCAUCGCGUUUCACCGCAGAACGUUUGUUUCGCACGCGAUCGAGACUCGAUUUUCCCGCUGACAACUUUCUUCCUUACCGAUAUACAAGUGACUCGAAUUCGAUCGUGUUUCGUUGCCGGUCUUCCCGUUCGCGUUCGCCGUUCGGUUUCGAGCUUGCCGCUCGAUGGAAUAAUUUACUCGUUGAAAGAACUCUUAUCGACCCGAGUUCUUUUUUUCGAUUCGGAUAACGAGUCACGCUGACUAGAGAAAAAUCUGAAACGCGUCCACCCGGACCGUUCUUCUUCUCGUUUUUUUUUUUCUCCUUCGGUUCCCUCUUCUCGCUUCGCUCUUCCACUCCCUACUUUUCCGAGACUAUCAACGACCAUCGCGGUAAACUUAAAGACGGUAAAGUCCGACUACCAGUUUAGAAACACGAGCGAUAUCAAUUUUAUCGAUGUCAUAAUUCAGUUGCUUAUCUCGACGCAGCCGCGCCACUACGAACGCCGGUAAGUACGGGGUGUCGAUAAAGUUCCAGACAGCGAGAUACGAAGCUCGUAUGCGAGUAAAAACCGAACUGGCAGCCGCUUCGGAGCUCUGUCCAGAUUACCACACGGAUCCGUUUCGGUUUUAUGCUCGUACGAAAAUUAACUUAAAAACGCUCGAAAGCAGACGGUCGAAGCGCGACAAAGAAACGACGAACCCUCGGAGAAGAACGGGUCCGACUGUAAAUGCGUGGCCGUCGAAGGUGUUCGGUAGGAGUGGUCGACUAUUAUUAAUAAAGCGUGCAUUAAAAGAAAGAUACGGACUCGAGAACACGGACAAUAGGUACGGGGGUGGCGCGGAAGCGUUCUCCGGCGCAAGGAGAACGAUCGUCGUAAAUCACCGAAGAGCGGCUUUCGAAGGAUUCUUCUUUUUUUCGCGGCCGCGAGUUCUCCUUCGAAUUCGUCUGCUCCGGCAAGUUGGAAGGCAACGCGUUUCCCUCGGAACGACCGGUCGACUAUUAAUUAGGGUACGUGACGCGGCAUAAUUAGGCGGUGCGUAAUCAGAUCGUCGAAUAGAAUUGAUAUACGUCUAGUUACGCCUAACGAUCCCCUUGGUGACAAUGCAUUAAGACGUCGCGCGUCACGAAGCUACCCCGCAACGUCGUUGUUCGCUUCGUACCGCGAUCGCAACCACGCGUCUAGCGAUUUUCGAUUUCUCGUUCGUUUCGGUCCGAGGAGAGCCCGGAAGACGAAGAGCAGCGACGCGAAUUGGCAAUUCGAAGGGCACUUACCACCCGGGCCAAUUCUCGCGCUGAUUAGUAAUAUUGUGGCCUGAUGAGCCGAGGGCUCGAGCCGUCGCGACGGUCGAGUAGGAGAUGAGACCGUAACCUCGUUACCGACCCGUGGGCGACUACCCCAACUAUAACGCUAUCCUCGGAACCAUAAAGUAGCGCGAGACGAACGCGUCAAGGCGAACGAACGAACGCACAAAGAGGGACGAACGGAUAGGCGCGUGGAUAGUCGAGAGAUUCGUCCCCCGCGAACUUGCACGACCCUUUGGGAUCGAAAUACGCGAUCGAAUUACGUAAUAACCGGUUGCUCCGCGACUCUGUUCGGUCGGAGGGAAAGUAGACGCGUAAACGCGAACAGCGGAAAUGUUUGCUCGUUGGCAGAGGCUCAUGCGUUUUUCGAGGGGCGUUCGUUAGCGGUUCGCGGUCGAGCGGGCACGGAUACGGGUGCGCGUGCUUCGCACCCCAUUCUCGGCAUUGGAAUCGUAGCAUCGUCCCGUCAUUGUCGAGGUAGGCGAACGCGACCGACACCGUGGGCGGUGCGUGAUUUCAGGGAGAAAGGUCACCGCGAGAAAUCGUCACGAUCGUUGGAUCGGAAAAUAAUGACCGGUGCGAGCGACUGCUCUAUUCAAUGACCGUGGAAGAGGAAGCGGGUACAAGGGUUGCGAUUGCGGUACGCCACCGCGCCAUCGGUUACGGAAGAGGUAGAAAAGGACGGGUGGUUAGCGCGUGGGGUGAGCCGCGACAAUGCUCUAAUCAAAUGUCACGAAUCAGCGCCAUUAUGCGCAUCUGCGGUAUGAAUUCGUAAAUACGCCUCGAGGCGUUCGCCUUUGCUCCCCGGUGAAUAUCCAUCGAGAGAUUUCCACGGGAAUCGUGGCUGUUCUCGCCCCAUCGAAUCCACCGUCGAAACGUCGAUACCGAUAUCGACUCGCUGCUGAUCGCGAACUUCUCCGCUUCAUCUUUUCUUAAGAUAUUUACCUAUCUAUCGUCGCGUGAAUAAUUGCGUUAAAAUAAACGAAAUAAAUACGCAAGUAUCGCCAUCUUUGAAUCGAUUAUACAAUUACUGAAAUGUGGUAUAUUCCCCAAUAUGACAAGAUACCGAGUUACUCUAAUAAGCAUGUACGAUAGUCGCGCUAUUUAUAGCCACGAUAAAGACCUUAACGUUUCGCUUGUACCUUGCGAUAGACUUUGGUUCGUCUAUGGCGCUGCUUCAAAGAUUCUCGAAAACGAUUCGUGACGCGCGUAAAUAACGAAAACGAGCGUAACGGACCGUGCGCAAGAGGAAAUUUUCAUCCGAGUCGUUAUCUGUUUCUCGCGCAAAAAAAAAUGAUGGCGUUAAAGUUACGCGAAGUUAGCAUCUUUUUCCGGCGUUCGCGUGGAAAAGAACGCGAAGCGGAGUCGGAGAAUGGCAACGUCGAUCGUCCGAGCGCGAGAGUUUGUCUGUGGUCGGUGCCUCGUAAAUCCCCUACGAAAACUCGAAAGCCGCGACGUAUCGCCGCGACGAAACGAUGCGGCAGGGAGGGAGGAAAAAAAAAGAAAGCGUUUCGACAUACCGGCGUAGAACUUUUCCGUUUUCGCAGAGACGUCGAGCGAAAAUAAUGCCGCGUUCUAAUCCCGAAAGCGGGAAUCCGAUUCGCGCGGCGAAACCGAGUUCCAUGUAGCGAGACUCGACUUCGUAGGGAGAGAGAAAAAAAAGCCCUUACGAAACGAAUCCAAACGGUACGAACACGAAAAUAGAGUCCCGACAACCACGCUGGCGCUCCGAAAAUUCGAAACGGAACGCGUUUCGAUCUCUCCUCCUACUUUUAUUCUCGGCUAGAAAUUUCGCGCUGUACGGUAACGAAAAUGUCCCGGUUAUUUUUACGAUGGCUUUUUAACAUAGCGACAACCGGACAAAUAAGGAAAUCGAAAUAUGCAGGGGAAUCGAUAACGACGUAGAAAAGGCGCGAAGAACGUUAAGGACGACACAGAAAUAGAUACCGGUUGCAUCGCGCCCGAUACGAACAUAAAUACGCUGUACGAGCGUGUGGAAUAAAAGCGCCGUUACCGAUUUUUCGUUCCACUCUUCCAGCGUAUCGGAAGACCUUACGACCCGUUUCGAUAACCUAAAAGUCAAGGGUACUCGUUCGCGCCAAAGUCCCGAGGCUUCGAUAAUCUUCGGCAACGGAGAGGGCAGACGCCGGCUGAGAGAAAACGAGACGAUCGAGCGCGCCGCGACGCUCCACGAAAGAAUAAUCAAGAGAGUUUUUGAAAUUUGAAAACCCGAAGAAGCGCGCGGUCUUCCCUGUGGUUUUGCUUGUACGAAGCGUGCGGGGCACGCGCGCGAAUACGACCGUUCAAAAACGAACCACCCGUUGCAUUAUCCGCUUCGUGGUCGUCGUGUUCUUUUGAUCUACCCCAUAAUUAAUCCGCGGAGGUAACCGGAGACGCGUAUGGGCGCACCGGGACCCACGGGGCCGGCUCAUUCAUCGACGAAACUCUGGACCGAGUCAUUGAAAGGGUAUCAACGGAGAAACGGAGAACGGGAGAACGAGCGAGCGACGAAAGGAGAAGAGGGGAAGCGCUGAUUAACAUUUUCAUCAGAGCCGAGUCACGUGCCGCGCGUUUUGUGUAUCUAACCGUAAUGAUCGCUGCGACGACGCGACGACAAAUAUCUAAUCGCGGGAAAUAACCGUUCGCCAUAAAUCCGUCGACGGAAAAACCCGAUCGCCUCGCGAACCGAUUCGUAAAUCGGCGCCAGCGCGUCCCUCGGAAUCGAGAGCCGUCGCCGCGCUUAAUGGAGUGGCGCGUAAUUUCGUAUUCGCGAGGAUCAUUAACGCGCCAGCUGCUUCCCUCUCUUUUCGACGCGUUCCUCGAACGCGUUCGUUCCAACUUUUGCGACGAAACGUGGAACGAUAAUCUUCGAUGCCAUCUGCCGAGCAUCGCGUCGAUACGAGCCUCUUAACAGCCGUUCUCGCGUUCGCUCGUUGGCUCGCGGCUCGAAGAAGGUCGUUUGUCGGAUCGCGAUCGACGCAUCCGCCACGGAGAUAUUUGCAUCGGUCGCAGCUGCAGCCGACCGGUAAUUUCGACUUUUUUACGAGGGAGGUCAAAGCGCGACCUGCCUCCUUUACCUGCCGUUGCCAGCCGAUCUCGUACGCCCAAACUUGUCCCCCUCUCUCGCUCUCUCUACGAUCAUCGAUCCCCUCGUUAGGAAACUUGGAAGCUGAAAACGAGUCGUGCGACGACGAACUUUGACGCUCGCCGAGCGAGUUUAAUCGUCGCGCGAGAAAGAAAUCGAGCCUUCGUUCGCGGAGAGUGCGAGCCGUUGCGCAACGGAGGAGAAAAGGUCGAGCGUACGCGACGCGUCGUAAAUGAACGCGAGAUUAGCGCGAAAACAUACGUACGAUUACGCGAUAUUUCGUCGGCUCGCAUUCUCGACCUCGUCUCGCUCGUUAUCCGCUUGACCCGUACGCGUUAUCUUCCUUUCUCUUCGCCGCUCGUCCUUGCCGAUUAGCUUUUGCCGAAAUUUGUUUACCGAACGCGGUCGAGUCACUCGAAUCGUUCUUAUUUUUCUUGUCGACCGGAGUAAACGGUCACGGUUUUCUCGGUGGCGAACGCUCGAUCUCGACCGAAUCGACUCGCUUCGCAAAAUCGAGGCAGCUCGUUGCGUAAGCGUCACGCGUUUUCGGUUCCGUAACGUCGUUUCGCUGGAAUAUUUGUCGCGAGGGGAGAACCGGCAAGUCCGUCGGUGUAGGUGGCGGUGAAAAGUGGAAAGGGCCCGAGGAGCAGGAGGUUCGACGAGAAAAAUCUCGAGUUUCCAGUUCGGGAAACGGUCGCGGCGCACGUGUUUCUAGCGUUAUCAUCGGCUAGUAAAUUGUGCCGAGACAGCUUAGAAUCCCCUUGACCCGCGUGACUCGAUGAAAAACAUCUGUCGCCGCUGGUGCGCCGAGAGCCGUUCGUCCUCGCGUAAAAAAAGAGCAGCUAUACGUUCGACUGGCUUCGCGAUUCGGACGAAACGGCACGGAACGAGCUUGGAAUCGCGAACGACGAACGGAGCGGAAGGACGACGAUUGUUCGAGGUGCACCGAGCGUAGGAACGAACGAAAAGGGUGAAGGUGGAUAAAUAGAGGGAAAACGGGAAAGGAAAAGAGUCGGAAAGGAAGGGUGAAGAAGGAGAAAGAAGAAGAAGGAAAGAUUGGUUGCGGCGGUGAGGCGGUGAGGCGGUGAGGCGGAGCAUGGAGGUGGCGAAGGCGGGGCGAGCCAAGUUUCAGAGGCGUGAUGUAUCGACGGAAUUUCAAAAACGAACAGAGACGAGAACGCGAUGCAUAAUCCAUCGGACGGGUCGAGAAAUCGAAGGCGAACGCGGCGUAGGGUGCGGACGGUUCGGACGAGGAACCGAAAGGAAGGAUGAGAAAGAGGAGGAGGAAGAAGCGGCGGAGGAGUAGGAGGAAGAAGAGAGAGUGUUCGGGUGUGGGGAAAGACGAGAGGACGAGAACCGCGAUCCAUCAAGGAGACGCGAGGGUUUGGGGUGAUGUAUCCGUGGAUAGGUUGACCUCUGCGCCGGACACUAUAAAAUCACCCUUAAACAUUCCUUCCUGAAGCGAUCGCGAGCUUUUAACGAAACGCUUCCCCUCGCUUUCGAAUUUUUUCGCGCUCGAACCGUUACUCGUCCACCGAACGAGAAAUUCGAUCCCGGUGAUUGGAUCGAUUUCAUCGCGGCACGGAAAAUCCGUACGGAAUGGAUACCGUCGCGGCGUAUUCGUCUCGCCGCGAUUCGAAAGCGCGGAGAAAAAAGCCGAUUCUGUACGCGAAACGAACGCGUCGAAACAUCGAACGGCGCUCCGUUGUAUCGUUCAUGUUUCAUCGAGAACCAUCCACCCUCCUGGAGGAGAAAUGUCACGGAACGUCGGAAAUUGGAAAGCUUAUUCAUAUUUUUUCGAUAGACGAUAAUACGUUCCCGACGACGGAUCAGCCACCUUCGUUCCGCGUGCGUUACGCCAGGACCGAACUGGAACGGGAAAAAGAACCUACGACGAAUACGAUCCCCGAAUACCACCGCGAGUCCGAGGUUCUUUCUUCAUUUUUCCACCGUUCCUUGCCAUUCGUUCCUGUCAUUCUUCCUGCUUUUACAACCGAGCGAAGGAGAACGAUCAAAUCGAAGCUGCAUUUUUAUCAGUAACGUUAAUAAUGUUUGUCUGCGAGACAAGAAAUCUGGAGAUCUUACAGCAAAAUAAGUCUAGUUCUUCGUUGCAACUUCACGCUUAUAUAAUUUGAAAUGUAUAGUACACAUGUUCAAAAUAUGUAAAAAUGUAAAAGCGAAGACACCUUGAACAUUAGUUGUUAUUGCAUUCUUGUUAUCAACGCGCAUUAGGAAACGAGAUAAACACGAAUCUCUAUAUACGAACUUAAAUAUUUCUAGAUAAGACGAAUGGGAGAAAACAAGACUGAUAGAGUUGCAUCCUAGAGAUACUGAAUUAAAAACUUCUAACUUGGACUUCGCUGGAGAAUUUUAAUUUUAUACGGUUAAAGUUCCAAGUCCAAAAAUGAAAUGACUCGAUGAGAAGUGUGUUAUUUUCUACUUGAUUAAAUAAUUACGAUAUUUUGCAAAAAUUUCUCUUCUCGAACACGUAGCUACCUUGCCUAUUGUAAUACAAAAAUAGAAUUUUUCAAGUCAGUGACACGUUUCGAAGUAGAGACAGGUUUCACGAUAAGAAAAGUGAAACAGAUUUUGUUCAGUUUUGGGCUAUUUUAUCGCGUUGUACGCGUCGCGGUGAACAACGAUAGGAAAAGAGGGUCGAAGGAAGGGAGGCCGAUCGCGAACGUGCGCGCACGGAGAACGGGCAUUGAAAAUUAGACAUACGUUUCAUUUCCUGAAGCGACCGUGAUUUCCGGCGUUGCUUCAAAUAUUGGAAAUAUCUAGCGCCGUUCAAUUUAACGCGAAUCCGAUUCGAUCCGAUUUCGCGGGGCUGGAAAAAUCACGAUUCGGCUAUCCUCGUCGGCUCGCCCGAUCGACUCCGUUCGAAUCGAGUUUCGUCGUCGUUUCGCGUAUCUCCUCUUUUUCCUCCGUUAUCGAUUCGUAUCGGUCGUGACGUAACGCGUUCCAGCGAUGACCCGAGGCGUUUAUCGAAGACACCGUUUCCGUUCGAACGAAACAAGAUGUUUUUCAUUUAACGUCCAAGCCAAGCGAGACGAAAGCAAAAAAACCACGACGAUGGCGAUUAAUCGUGAUUUUCUCUCGAUCAUCGCGAUACGAGCGUAGCUCGAACUUUCACGUUAGGAUUUUAGCCACACGCCUUUCGAAGACGCUCGAGCGUCGCGUACACUGCGAUGCGCGCCGUGUAGUCGAUGCUAAGGCGCCAAACGAAAUUCUCGCUUCGCGGCGUUCAACACGAAAGCUUACAGGCAUAAUCCUUUUAACCUUUUCACGCUGGACAAAAUUACUCGGUCGUAUCUCAUCGACCGAACAGGGAAUGAUUUCAGCGUUACAGGUGUUCGAAGAUUUUGAAAUUCGCAACGCUUAUUAAUUUCGUUCUUACCCGUACAGACGAAUCCGUGGAAAAAAUCAGGACGAGCACGAGCGGUAAACUGAUCGCGCGGCUACGAAAGCAGAAGCGAGACGUCACAUUCAGGCACUCGAGUAAAAGAGGUGCUCGAUCGGGCAGAGGAAGGCCGAAGAAGGGUGUCGGUGCGGAGGGUAGAGAAAUCGACGGUGCACUUUAUCGGUGCCAUAAAGACUAAUAUAAUCCGAGAAGGAAAAAGAGCGAGCGAAACGCGAUAGACCGAGCGACGGGUGUCGACGGGUGUUGACGGGCACGCGUUUUCGGGGGACGCAGCGCACUAGGCUGUUUUUUAGGCGGAGUGGCUUUUUGCGGACGACAGGGCAUUUAAGGGAAUUGCUCCCCAGCGCCUUACCGCGAAUCGACUCUCUCGCCCCGCUUCGGGGGAAAAAAUCGUUUCUCGACCUCGUCAUCGUCUCGGACUCGCCUCGCGAUCGAUUUUUCCACGCUUUUUCGAUCGCUGAAACCGACUCGCUCGAGAGGAGCGAGAAAACGUGAUUUCGCGAGAGGAGGUUCGACGUUAUCCGAAUGCACCGUUGGUCAGGAAAUUGGCAUCUUCGGGGCGAACCGGCACGCGAAUCUCGAUUCGUUUGGUAUCGGACAAAAGUCAGAGACGCGACCGCGAUCCCGCUCGUAAUCGCGAACGUCUCGUUGCGGAUUUCUCGCAAUUUUCACCCUUCCAUCGCGACGCGUCUCCCUCUCGUGAUCCGUUGGCUCCGACGCUGCCACCCCGAACGAAAAAGAGAGACACUCGCGCGACGCCCGACGCGCGAACGAGCCCUUAUCGCAAAUGACUGCUUCCGUCGAGUAGCGAGCCAUUUAGAGAGCGUAACGGCGUUGCGCUUCGCGCGGCGAUCGCAAGGCGAGUACCUAAUCCAGACGAUAAUGGCUUACCGCCGCGGCACAACCGAGCGACCGAACAAAGACGGCGGCCGGUCUUCCUUUGGGAACAAAAGCGUUUCGUGCUGGCUCGAUAACGCGCCGCCGAAUCUUCCUAUCCUCUCGACUAUUCUUCGCGGCUAGUCUAAACUUCGAGAGCUCAUCCGCUUCUUCCGAGAUAAUCGAAGCACCGCGUAUGCCUACGAUCCGCGGCCCACCUUUUCCGCCCGCGACGAUACGCGUCGUUAUCCGCGUUCCUCGUUUCUCGAUAUCCCGUUACCGAGUUCCGACCCUAGUCAGCAUCCAAAGCGACCGACACAACCCUAUCGAUUACGCGACUCGCAAACGAAUUCUCGCGUCUAACGAGUCGCUAGACCAAACUACUCGUCUACUCGUUACACCGAUCGCGUGCUUUGCUCCCGAUCUCUGCAAGGCCGACGCAAACACAAGCGAACAGACGUCAACGCGCGACUCGAAGAGGAUCGAUCCGACGCGAGAGUGGAUUGCGGUGGCGAUCAUAGUUUUAAUCGAAGCGGAUAGAGCGAUCAGCGAGUAGCGGUUAAACGGUGGGUGGCGACGGAGGUGGAGGCAGCAGUCCCCUUCGAGGGAACGUCCGUUCGACUAGGCGUCGAGGUCGAAGGGGUGUCUCGAGCACCGUAUAUACCCUUUCGUGGGAUUAUUCGGUGGGUAAUGUAUGGCAAACAUAAAUCACGGAAUACGGGACAGACGGACGACAUAGCUACGCGAAACUCUCCGUCGACGAUGAUCCGGCCGACGCGACGCGGUUCGGUUAAACUAAUUGCUGGUUGGAUGGUUAGCUGCUGGAACAUCGCGAAUUCGAUUCCUGCUCGCUCCUAUUUCUCUCUAUUUUAUUUCUCAGAUCGAGGGAAAAUUGUUUAUUCUCUAUGAAGUCCUACAACCACUUCAGAGGAGUUUAGAAUUUAUUUAUUUUACGUGAAUCUUUUUGUUUCAAUGCACAUGGAACUGUUCUUGAUUUUGUCCCGAUUAUCACAAUAAAUAAAUAAAUCUUUUAGUUACACGUGCAACUUGAAGUAUUUGUUCGCAGAAAGAAUCGAAGUUGUUCGAAGAGAAAAACGCGACAAGUUUCGAGGAAAUAAAAGUGCGCGGUUAGAUAGGUCGGGGGCGUAAUUCUAAUUACGCAAAGUAUCCCGUUACAGAUUUACGAGGUCUCCCGUACACGUGUACGGAUCACUCGCGCGCCCUUUCCACGCACGCAGUCCCGUGACUUUUCUCCCGUGGUUCGCCACUCCAUUUACAUAUGAAUUAAACUAUUACGCCCCAUACGGCAGUCGGCGUGCUAAACCGCUCUGCUACCGCUACCCUGCUAUUCCUCUCGACCUGUUCUCCGGCCCGUUACCCACGAUCUAUCACCGCCGAGCCGGAGACCGACACCGACACCGAUACCGAUACCGGACUCGAUCCACUUUUUUCCACUCUUUUUUCUUUCCUCGAUCCGAACCAAACGGAUCGACGCAGAAUCAUGGUCGAGCCUCGCGUAA